rnacentral:rRNA from 1 species
UAUGGGCGCAGGCCUGAACCAGCCAGUAGCGUGAAGGAUGACUGCCCUAUGGGUUGUAAACUUCUUUUAUAAAGGAAUAAAGUCGGGUAUGUAUACCCGUUUGCAUGUACUUUAUGAAUAAGGAUCGGCUAACUCCGUGCCAGCAGCCGCGGUAAUACGGAGGAUCCGAGCGUUAUCCGGAUUUAUUGGGUUUAAAGGGAGCGUAGGUGGAUUGUUAAGUCAGUUGUGAAAGUUUGCGGCUCAACCGUAAAAUUGCAGUUGAAACUGGCAGUCUUGAGUACAGUAGAGGUGGGCGGAAUUCGUGGUGUAGCGGUGAAAUGCUUAGAUAUCACGAAGAACUCCGAUUGCGAAGGCAGCUCACUAGACUGUUACUGACACUGAUGCUCGAAAGUGUGGGUAUCAAACAGGAUUAGAUACCCUGGUAGUCCAAGGGCGAAUUC